rnacentral:rRNA from 1 species
ACAACGAAGAGUUUGAUCCUGGCUCAGGAUGAACGCUAGCGACAGGCUUAACACAUGCAAGUUGAGGGGCAGCACAGGUAGCAAUACCGGGUGGCGACCGGCGCACGGGUGAGUAACGCGUAUGCAACUUGCCUAUCAGAGGGGGAUAACCCGGCGAAAGUCGGACUAAUACCGCAUGAAGCAGGGGCCCCGCAUGGGGAUAUUUGCUAAAGAUUCAUCGCUGAUAGAUAGGCAUGCGUUCCAUUAGGCAGUUGGCGGGGUAACGGCCCACCAAACCGACGAUGGAUAGGGGUUCUGAGAGGAAGGUCCCCCACAUUGGUACUGAGACACGGACCAAACUCCUACGGGAGGCAGCAGUGAGGAAUAUUGGUCAAUGGCCGAGAGGCUGAACCAGCCAAGUCGCGUGAGGGAUGAAGGUUCUAUGGAUCGUAAACCUCUUUUAUAAGGGAAUAAAGUGCGGGACGUGUCCCGUUUUGUAUGUACCUUAUGAAUAAGGAUCGGCUAACUCCGUGCCAGCAGCCGCGGUAAUACGGAGGAUCCGAGCGUUAUCCGGAUUUAUUGGGUUUAAAGGGUGCGUAGGCGGCCUUUUAAGUCAGCGGUGAAAGUCUGUGGCUCAACCAUAGAAUUGCCGUUGAAACUGGGGGGCUUGAGUAUGUUUGAGGCAGGCGGAAUGCGUGGUGUAGCGGUGAAAUGCAUAGAUAUCACGCAGAACCCCGAUUGCGAAGGCAGCCUGCCAAGCCAUGACUGACGCUGAUGCACGAAAGCGUGGGGAUCAAACAGGAUUAGAUACCCUGGUAGUCCACGCAGUAAACGAUGAUCACUAGCUGUUUGCGAUACACUGUAAGCGGCACAGCGAAAGCGUUAAGUGAUCCACCUGGGGAGUACGCCGGCAACGGUGAAACUCAAAGGAAUUGACGGGGGCCCGCACAAGCGGAGGAACAUGUGGUUUAAUUCGAUGAUACGCGAGGAACCUUACCCGGGUUUGAACGCAUUCGGACCGAGGUGGAAACACCUUUUCUAGCAAUAGCCGUUUGCGAGGUGCUGCAUGGUUGUCGUCAGCUCGUGCCGUGAGGUGUCGGCUUAAGUGCCAUAACGAGCGCAACCCUUGCCACUAGUUACUAACAGGUGAUGCUGAGGACUCUGGUGGGACUGCCAGCGUAAGCUGCGAGGAAGGCGGGGAUGACGUCAAAUCAGCACGGCCCUUACAUCCGGGGCGACACACGUGUUACAAUGGCGUGGACAAAGGGAGGCCACCUGGCGACAGGGAGCGAAUCCCCAAACCACGUCUCAGUUCGGAUCGGAGUCUGCAACCCGACUCCGUGAAGCUGGAUUCGCUAGUAAUCGCGCAUCAGCCAUGGCGCGGUGAAUACGUUCCCGGGCCUUGUACACACCGCCCGUCAAGCCAUGGGAGCCGGGGGUACCUGAAGUCCGUAACCGCGAGGAUCGGCCUAGGGUAAAACUGGUGACUGGGGCUAAGUCGUAACAAGGUAGCCGUACCGGAAGGUGCGGCUGGAACACCUCCUUU